rnacentral:rRNA from 1 species
GGAACGGUACGUAUCUGCAUAUUGGGCGUAAGCGCGCGCAGGCGGUUUCUUAAGUCUGAUGUGAAAGCCCACGGCUCAACCGUAGGAGGGUCAUUGGAAACUGGGGAACUUGAGUGCAGACCAGAAAAGCGGAAUUCCACGUGUAGCGGUGAAAUGCGUAGAGAUGUGGAGGAUCACCAGUGGCGAAGGCGGCUUUUUGGUCUGUAACUGACGCUGAGGCGCGAAAGCGUGGGGAGCAAACAGGAUUAGAUACACUGGUAGUCCACGCCGUAGACGAUGAGUGCUAAGUGUUAGAGGGUUUCCGCCCUUUAGUGCUGCAGCUAUCGCAUUAAGCACUCCGCCUGGGGAGUACGGUCGCAAGACUGAAACUCAGAGGAAUUGACGGGGGCCCGCACAAGCGGUGGAGCAUGUGGUUUAAUUCGAAGCAACGCGAAGAACCUUACCAGGUCUUGACAUCCUCUGACAACUCUAGAGAUAGAGCGUUCCCCUUCGGGGGACAGAGUGACAGGUGGUGCAUGGUUGUCGUCAGCUCGUGUCGUGAGAUGUUGGGUUAAGUCCCGCAACGAGCGCAACCCUUGAUCUUAGUUGCCAGCAUUAAGUUGGGCACUCUAAGGUGACUGCCGGUGACAAACCGGAGGAAGGUGGGGAUGACGUCAAAUCAUCAUGCAACUUAUGACCUGGGCUACACACGUGCUACAAUGGAUGGUACAAAGGGCUGCAAGACCGCGAGGUCAAGCCAAUCCCAUAAAACCAUUCUCAGUUCGGAUUGUAGGCUGCAACUCGCCUACAUGAAGCUGGAAUCGCUAGUAAUCGCGGAUCACAUGCGCGCAUGAAAUUCCUUUCCCGGGCCUUUGUACACACCGCCCGUCACACCACGAGAGUUUGUAACACCCGAAGUCGGUGGGGUAACCUUUAUGGAGCCAGCCGCCUAAGGUGGGACAGAUGAUUGGGUGAUACACAGGGGGGGCGAAGAGGAGGAAA